rnacentral:ncRNA from 1 species
UAAAAAAAUUAUUCUAGUUUUUAUGUAAUAAUUAUUAUUAAAUAUAUAUUAGUUGUUAAUUUAAAAAAUAAUUAAGUAAAGAAAAUAAUAUGUAAUAUUAAAAAUUAAAGAAAUUUAGAUUUAGAAUAUAAAUAAAAAUUAAUAAAUUUUUGUGCCAGCAAUUGCGGUUAAACAAAUAAUUUUUAAAAUAAAAAGCUUUAUAAUAUUAAAAAGAUAAAAUUAAUAUUUAAAUUAAUUUUAAAUUAAAAAGUAAAAUUUUUAAUUUAAAAAAGGUUUAAUUUUAAAUAAUUUAAAGUUAAAAAAUAUUAUAAAUAAACUAGGAUUAGAUACCCUAUUAUAAAUAAAAAAAAUGAUUAAAAAAAAGUAUUAGUUAAAAUCUUAAAAUUUAAAGAAAAUGGCAGUAUUUUAAUCUGUUUAGAGGAAUCUGUAAUUUAAUUGAUAAACCACGAUUAAUUUUACUUAAUUUAAUUAAAUUUAUAUAUCUUUGUUAUAAAAAUAUUUUUAAAAAAUUAAUAUUUUAUAAGUUAAAUUAAAAAUUAUUUCAAAUCAAGAUAUAAUUAAUAAUUAAGCAAUUUAUGGAUUAUAAUAAAAAUAUUUAUUAAUUGGAUGAUAAAUUGAAAGUUUAUUUAAAAUUAGAUUUAAAAGUAAUUUUUAAAAAAUUGUAAAAAUGAUUUAGAUUUAAAAUAUGUACAUAUUGCCCGUCACUUUCAUUAUAAAUGAAAUAAGUCGUAACAAAGUAGAUUUAUUGGAAAAUGAAUCUAGAAAGAU